GCUACUUCAUUCCAAAUUUGGCAAAACAUCCAGAGCUUUGAGAAAAAAGAGGAAAACACCUAGAUGCCACAACAACUGGCCCCAUGUUUCCUUUGUUUUUCAGAAAGCGAUGAAGGGUUCGCCAGCACUGAGGAAGCAAGUGAGAAAGAUUCCCAUAACUCUGAAGAACGUAC
rnacentral:lncRNA from 11 species